UUCCAGUUGUCUGGAAUCAUGGAUUUGGAACCAAAUUCAGAGCUUGCUGAAUGUGUAAAACCUGAAAAUAAUUUUAGAACAUUUUCAAUUUGCUGGGAUUAGUAACGUUGCCUUCUGAAACUCAUAAUAAUAGCUAGUUGCUGCUUAAUACUGAUCUGUAUAACCUAACUUACACCUUGACAAGCAAGAAAGUUUUAUGUUGGUAUUUUAUGAAAAUAAUUUAAAGAAGCUGUAUUCUUAAUUUUAGUGGUAGCAUUUUCACUGUUUAUUUAAUCCCUAUUCUCUCAAUAUCUUACAAGCAGCAAAUUUAACUGUUAAGUUGCAGUUGAUUUUCAUAAUAGCAACCGAGCACAACAGGCUACCUAAACUCCAACACGCAUCAUACCGCAGAGAUUUCAAGUGCAAUUAUAACAUAAGAUGUAUGAGUAUUAAAGUGCUGUAUAUCAAAGAUUCAAAGUCCAUUCAUUAUCAAAGUAUAUAUGCAAUAUACAGCCUUGAGAUUCGUUGUGCUAUCAGCUUGUACCAUUCAAAAUUUGAAUAGCACAUUCAGGUAUUGGGAAAGAAGCCCAAUCGAGACCAAAUUUUGUUUAAGGAAAAUAAGGGAUAAAUAAUACUGGAAGAUAAUUCUAUUGUAGGGAGUAAAUUCUUUAAUUUCAGGAAUGUUUAUUCUAUCCGCACUCUGUAACUCAUUCUAUGAUGUCCUCCCUCCAAAUAUCUAGUUCAUCUCAAGUUUUCUCAAGAACUGCCUCAAAAUCAGAAAGGAAUCCAGUUUUCUUUCAAUAAAAAAUUUAACCUAGGUAAAUCAAUGUUGGGUACAUUAAUUAGACCAACAAAUGUAAUAACUGGUCAGAGGAAACAAUAAUGAAUAGUUAGGUUUCACAAUGUAUUGUCUACAAAUCAUUUCAGAUUCAUGACCACAAACAGAAGUUGAUGUCGAAAGAAAAUUAGGCAUUGUGAUCCAUUAAGAAAGUCAUUCCAUGUACAAACUUUGUAAGACAAACAACUCUGUCUGAAAGACUCAUGAUCAAAUGUGCUUUCCAGAGAAGAACUUCUCCAUGAAGGACAGGUAAUAUGGCAAGGUCUAGCCGAAUGGAACACUGCACAGCAACAAUACCAGGCCCAUCCUCUGCAAUACUGGGGACAGAGAAACAAGAGGAUGAUGAUGCUGGAGACCACAGCAAAAAGAAAACAAACUGAUCGAGCAACUCUAUGGAUAAGGGAGCAUCUGUGGAGACGGUCAGCAACCUGGACUGAAAGAGUGGAGGGGAAAUGGCCGGUAGAAAGAGAAGCAUGGUGACCCUUGCAGGCUGCUCCUAACACAUUCACAGCCUGUGUUAGCUGGUGAAACAAAACAAUGCAUUUCAUCACUGUAUGUUUCAACGUAUAAGUGACAAAUAAAGGUAAUUUUUUUUCAUUAAUCAAUUUGCACUAGCAUUGCAAGUUUUAAUUUGUUCUGUAAGGUAGGUGUAAUUUAUAAUAAUUUAAGUUCCUGUUAGCAUAUGUCAUAUUUAUAACAUACUGUGUUGCUGCAAAAAAAAAAUUAUUUUCAUGGUAUUUAUAAUUCCAUGUAUGCAUAUAACAAUAAAACUGAACUUGACAGUUUUUAAUAGAUAUUUCAGUUGCUGCUGUAGUCACCAUAAAAAUUUAGACAGUAUAGUUGGAAGAAUAGUGCUUCAAUGUUCAAUUUUCAAACCAUAACCAACGACACUAAAAAGGUUAUCAGCCAACAUUAUAUUGUCGUUUGUUGUAUGCUGCAGAACACAAAUUGGCUGCUCUUCUGCAGCAGUGACCACAAUUCAAAAGUACUUUGUGAUGUAGUUUAAUUGUUCAAAGAAUAUGAACGACGCCAUAAGCUUUUUAAAAAAUUAACAAAAAUUUCUUUUGUUCUGAACUUUAAAAGCAGCAGCUGUUAUUGUUUACAAAGCUGAGAGAUGAUGGACAAUUUUGACUAAUUACAAAUCAACUGUAAGUAUGGACUUUCACCUUUUGUGGCUAUAUGAAAUUCAGAAUGCUUUUCAACUAACAUUUAGCUCCUAAAAAUGCUCAAACUAGUAAAGUUCGCAGAUAGUCUUUAGAUUUUGUGAGAUAAUGCUUCGAAUUCAAAGUUCAAAGUAAAUUUAUUAUCAAAGUAUAUAUAUGUGACAGUAUAUAUGUAUACAAAAAGGGUCAACCAAAAGUCUUGGAUGACUACCAUCGAGUGGCCCUGACCUCACAUAUCAUGAAGACCCUAGAGAAGUUGGUCCUUGCUCACCUCCAAUGCCUGGUCAGAUCAGCCCUUGAUCCCUGCAGUUAGGCUAGCAGGAGCACAUUGGAGUCAACAAUGCUGUUAUCUACCUGCUGAACAGAGCCUACUCCCAUUUGGAUAAGUAGGGCAGCACCGUAAGGAUCAUGUUCUUUGAUUUCUCGAGUGCCUUCAAUACCAUACAGCCCUCAUUGCAGAGGGGAAAGCUCCAUUCAAUGCAGAUUGACAUUUCAAUUAUUUUGUGGAUAAUGGAUUGACUGGCAGGCCAGCUUGUGCGGCUUCAGAGUUGUGCAGCUUAUAGCCAUGCCUGCCACACUGGGGUCCCAAAGGGAACUGUAUUGGCUCCUUUUCUGUUUACCCUGUAUUCCUCGGACUUCAGAUACGACAAUGAGUCAUUUCAUCUGCAGAAAUUCUCUGCAACACACACAAAAUGCUGGAGGAACUCAGCAGGCCAGGCAGCAUCUAUGAGUAAAAAAAGAGUACAGUCGAUGUUUCAGGCCAAGACCCUUCAGGACCCUGGUAGAAUAUGUGAAGGCCCUUCUAUGCAGUGGUGUGCUGGGGCAAUGGCAUGAACACAGGUGAUGUCAACAGACUCAAUAAAAUGAUUAGAAGGGGGCUCUGAUAUAGGAGUAAAACUGGACACACUGGAGGUUGUGGUAGAAAAAAAAGGACCCUAUGGAAAAUCCCAGCAACCCUGGACACUGUUUCUCACCCUCAGCAUGCCAACUUGGCUGAACAAAGAAGCACUUUUAGUAAUAGACCAAGAUAACUACACUGCUCCUAAGAUCACAAUAUGAGAUGAGAUUAUUCUUACCCUCAGCCAUUAGGCCCUAUAAUGAAUCAACCUAUAGCCAUGGAAGUGAUGACCUUCUCCUGUUAGAUUGUUUGAGGUAACUUAUCUUUUAUUCUUUCUACUUCUCUUGUAAUAUUUAUAUCUGUACACUUGUAAUGCUACUGUGACACUGAUUUCCUUUGGGAUCAAUAAAGUACAUAUCUAUCUAUACAACCCUGAAAUUCAUUUUCUUGCAGGCAUGCUCAAUAAAUCCAAUAAUCAUAAUAGAAAUUAAUGAAUGACCAUACCAACUGGGAUACACCAGUUCAAAAGACAACAAACAAACUGUGCAAAUACAAAAAGAAGUAAGGAAUAAUAAUAAAUAAGCAAUAAAUAUCGCAAACAUGAGAUUAAGAGAGCGAGUCCAUAGGUUGUCAGAACAUUUCAAAGAUGGGGCAAAUGAAGUUGAAUAAAGUUACCCCCUUGGGUUCAAGAGCCUGAUGGUUGAGGGGUAAUAACUGUUCCUGAAAAUGGUGGUGUGAGUCCUGAGGCUCCUGUAUCUUCAACCUGAUAGAAGCAGUGAGAAGAGAGCACGACCUGGGUGUUGUGGGUCUCUGAUGAUGGAUGCUGCUUUCCUGCAACAACGCUCUGUGUAGAUGUACUCAAUGGUGGGGACAGCUUUACCUGAGAUAGACCAGGCCAUAUCCAUUACUUUUUGUAGGAUUUCCCAUUAAAGGGCAUUGGUAUUUCCAUAUUAGGCUGCGAUGCCACCAGCCAAUAUACUCUCCACCACACAUUUACAAAAGUGAGUCAAAGUUUUAGCUGUCAUGCCGAAUCUUCGCAGACUCCUAAGGAAGUGGAGACACUGUCAUGCUUUAUUCAUAAUUGCGCUCACCCAGGACAUGUCCUCCAAAAUGGUAACACCGAGAAACUUAAAGUUGAUGACCCUUUCCACUUCUGAUCCCCAGAUGAAGACUGCCUCAUGAACCUCUGGUUUCCUCCUACUGAUGUCAAUAAUUAACUCCCCGGUCUUGCUAACAUUGAAUAAGAGGUUGUUGUUGUGACACCACUCAGCCAGAUGUUCCAUCUCCCUCCCAUAUGCUGAUUCAUCGGUGUUAAAGAGUGAUUUUUGGCUUUAGGUAAUUUACAUUUAGCAAAUGGCUUUGGCCACCAGAAUUCUGUUCCUUGACAAUGUAUUAUCGAUUCAUUUUGUAACAAUGCAUUUCCUAAAAGCUGUGAAUCCCAGUCCAGAGACGAUGUUGCCAUCUGUGGGUUGGAUGUGAACCAGAAGGUGUGAAGUUUGCGCACAGUGUCAAAGACAGCAUUAUCUAUACUUUGUAAAUAUGGAAUUGUCCUUUAUGUUUAGCAUGUAAAAUACCAAAUAAAUGUGUAGUGGAUUCAGUUUGGAACAAUGGAUUCCUAAAAGCCCAGUCCAGACACAGCUGGCGCCUGUGGGAUGGAUGCGUAUCAGAAGGUGUGAAGUUUGUAUGUAGCUUCAAAAGAAAGCAUUGUCUAUACUUGUAAAUAUGGAAUUGUCCUUUGUUUUUAGCAAAUAAACAUUGGGCCGGCAGACCUUUCCACUGAAGGCGUCUCCGUAUGAUGCCUGUUGUACCUUGUUUUGUAGAAUAAAGAAGCUACUUUGUAUCUACCAGUAACUCUCUCCAAUGAUUUCAUUCAAGCAACAACAGUCAGCACUAUUACAGUGGUUCCAUCAGAAAACUUGAAUCAGUGCACUUAGCCACACAGUCAUACGUGUAAACCAAGUAACAGAGGGCGUUAAGCACAUGGCCUUGUGGUGCAUCUGUGCCGAUGGAGAUAGUGGAUGAGAUAUUGCUGCCAAUCCAAAGCGAUUGGUGUUGUACAAGUGAGGAAAUCGAAGAUCCAAUUGCACAAGGUCUUGAAGCUUAUGAUUAAUUCUGAGGGGAAUAAUAAUAUUGAAUGCCGAGCUGUUGUCGAUAAAGAGCAUCCUGAUAUAUGCAUAAUUGCUGAACAGAUGUUUCAGAAUUGAGUGAAGUGCCAAUGAGACAGCACAUGCUGUGGACCUGUUGAGUUGGUAGGCAAAUGGGAGCAGAUACAAGGUGCUUCUCAGAUAGGAGUUGAUAUGUUUCAUCACCAGACUCCCAAAACAUUUUAUCACUGAGAUGCAAGUGUUACUGGAGGAUAAACAUUGAGGCAGGUUACCACCUUCUUCUUAGGCAUCAGUACAAAUGAAGCAGGUGGGUACCUCAGAUUGGCGAAGUGCGAGGUUAAAGAUCUCAGUGAACACUGCAGCCAUGUGGUCAGCCCAGGUCUUUAAUACUUGGCCAGGCAUCCCAUCUGAGCUGGAUGCCUUCCACUGGUCACUCUCCUGUCACUCGCAUGACAGCCUUAGAGACUGAAAUCAUAGGAUUAUCGGGGGCGGGGGGUGGUGGGAGUUCAAAAUGGUUCCUCUAUGUUUUGACAGUCAAAGUAAGCAUAGACGGUGUUGAGCUCAUCUGGAAGCGAAGCCUAUGUCAUUAGUUUUUAAUUUAUAAGAGUAUAGUUAGAAACUAAAGUCUUAAUGUAUGAAAUAAUCUCUUAAUCUCUUGGGUAACACCCUUAAAAUGGAAACCUUUAAGUUAAAAUAUAUAUUAAGCUGUGUACAAACAUGAACUUCUGAUAUUCUGUAAACUACUGUAAUAGGAUGUCCUAAAGUAAAUAGAGAUCAUGCUUAAAUAAAUACAGUUUUACAAACUAAGUAACAGCAUUCUUGCGGGUUUAAGUACAUUAAACGUUUUGAUGCCGAUUUUGUAUAGAAUGGCUGAAUCUAGCUGAUGGCCUUACAGAGUAUAUUGCCCAACAAAGAAUUUAGAAAAUACAAGAUAAUUGUGUUCCUGAUACAAGUACAGAGACAGGAUUA